rnacentral:rRNA from 2 species
GACUGCGCGUGCGUAUACUGCAGUCGAGCGGAUCUUCAUUAGCUUGCUUUUGAAGAUCAGCGGCGGACGGGUGAGUAACACGUGGGCAACCUGCCUGUAAGACUGGGAUAACUUCGGGAAACCGGAGCUAAUACCGGAUAAUCCUUUCCCUCACAUGAGGGAAAGCUGAAAGACGGUUUCGGCUGUCACUUACAGAUGGGCCCGCGGCGCAUUAGCUAGUUGGUGAGGUAACGGCUCACCAAGGCAACGAUGCGUAGCCGACCUGAGAGGGUGAUCGGCCACACUGGGACUGAGACACGGCCCAGACUCCUACGGGAGGCAGCAGUAGGGAAUCUUCCGCAAUGGACGAAAGUCUGACGGAGCAACGCCGCGUGAACGAUGAAGGCUUUCGGGUCGUAAAGUUCUGUUGUCAGGGAAGAACAAGUACCGGAGUAACUGCCGGUACCUUGACGGUACCUGACCAGAAAGCCACGGCUAACUACGUGCCAGCAGCCGCGGUAAUACGUAGGUGGCAAGCGUUGUCCGGAAUUAUUGGGCGUAAAGCGCGCGCAGGCGGUUCCUUAAGUCUGAUGUGAAAGCCCCCGGCUCAACCGGGGAGGGUCAUUGGAAACUGGGGAACUUGAGUGCAGAAGAGGAGAGCGGAAUUCCACGUGUAGCGGUGAAAUGCGUAGAGAUGUGGAGGAACCCAGUGGCGAAGGCGGCUCUCUGGUCUGUAACUGACGCUGAGGCGCGAAAGCGUGGGGAGCGAACAGGAUUAGAUACCCUGGUAGUCCACGCCGUAAACGAUGAGUGCUAAGUGUUAGAGGGUUUCCGCCCUUUAGUGCUGCAGCAAACGCAUUAAGCACUCCGCCUGGGGAGUACGGCCGCAAGGCUGAAACUCAAAGGAAUUGACGGGGGCCCGCACAAGCGGUGGAGCAUGUGGUUAAUUCGAAGCAACGCGAAGACCUU